ACGCCGAGCUCAUCGCUCUAGCCGAAGGAGGCGCGAUGGCUCCGCAGCGGCGGGCGCUGCCCCGCGGCCCCGACAGCGCCGGGCCGGGGCCGGGGCCGGGCCGCGGCGGCCGCCGGCACAGCAGCGCUAGGAAGGGCAGAUUCCAGCAGGAUCCCCGGGGAAGGUGGCUGAAGGCAGCGAUCCUCCUGCUGCUGUCCGCUGCGGCCGGCGGCGGCCUCGUGGUGUGGAGCCGCCUCCGCGCCGAGGGUGGGAUCCCCGAGGGUGGAACCCCUGGAGAGGCGGUCACCGAGGUGCUGGCACAUCGCAGCGACAGCCUGCGGGACAAGUUCGUCGAGAUCCCCUGCUCGGAGGACUACGACAGGCACAAACGAUUUGAAGGGUGCACUCCUAGGAAGUGUGGAAGAGGUGUGACCGAUGCUGUAAUCACAAGGGAAGAAGCUGAAAGAAUUCGUAGAAUAGCAGAGAGGGGACUGUCCUUGGGAGGAUCUGAUGGAGGGGCAUCAAUUUUGGAUUUGCACUCUGGAGCUCUUUCCCUGGGGAAGCAUUUUGUUAAUCUGUACAGGUACUUUGGGGACAAAAUUCAGGACAUCUUCACAGAAGAGGAUUUUGCCUUAUACCGGGAUGUGAGACAGAGGAUCCAGCAAAGGAUUGCUCAGGUGUUUGGUAUCAGCUCUUCUGCCAUGUACCUGACUAAGCCAACGUUCUUCUCCAGAAUGAACAGCACAGGAGCCAAGACAACACACGAUGAGUACUGGCAUCCACACGUUGACAAGGUGACUUAUGGCUCUUUUGACUACACUUCUCUGCUCUAUCUCUCUGACUACUCUGAAGACUUCGGGGGUGGCCGGUUCGUGUUCAUGGAUGCAGAUUCCAACAAGACAGUGGAGCCCCGAGCAGAAUGACUCUGGGGCUGCCUAGAGAGGAGCUCAGCCUCGGCUCAUCUGUCUGGCAGCAGUGUGGCUGAUCUUGCAAGACAUAAAAGAUGGAAAUUUACUCAUUUAAAGAGCCUCAGUAAUUGUCUGCUGCCAGGCAUUACCCCAAGCAGAACUGACUUCAGACCACUGCUGCCUGCAAAUUGGGAUGGGAGUUUUUUGACUUACGGAUCAUAGCGAUCCACUCACCUGCAGUGAGGCUGCUUUAGAUAAACUCUGAGAUUACCUGCAUUCUGGGUUUGCUGUUCAAGAAUUGUGUGUUUGAUUAUUUUGUUUUUUCUGACUGGAAAUGAACUCUAAACUGAAAGCAUCAUCUUUUGCAAAAUGCUGCCGCCAGUAUUUUGGAAGGGAGCAGAUUAAACUGUUCCGUUUCCAGAUGCAAUUCUAAGAUUACCAGGUUUUUAUAGCUGUAGAAAUCACAGCUGAAUUCUAGGUACGUGAGGAGAGCUGUCUCCUCAGUGCAGGGGCACUCAGCCUGGCUGCAGUGUGCAAUGUGCCCCUGACUUAAUUUCCAAAAGUCUGUAACUCUGCAAUUGCUUCCAUUCAGCCCCAUGUGUUAAUUUGCAGGUUUUCUGCUGCAGGGUCUUUACUCUUUGUCGUUUUGGAGGAAAAAGGGGAAGCUGAUGAAACACAGAAUUUCUUUUUUGGCUGUUCCCUUUGCCAGGGGGUUGUAUGGGCAACAUGUGCCACAGGACACACCUGAAACAAAACAAUGCACAGCUCGUAGGGAAUAGCACAACUGUGCUUCACGGACACAAGAGAAAAUUAAUCUUAAUGCCAGUUACACUUUUCCAACACAACUCUGUGUUACCACAGUUGUCAGGGGUCCUGUGAUUGUGUCACAACCUCUGGUGCACAAGUACCACUGAUGUCCUGUGAGCAAAGGGGAAAAACUUUAGAGGUGAAGCACAGUGCGAAGGCAUUUGCACUUGUUUUUCCUCUUGCUGAUAAAAUGUGUUUUGUGAAAGAAUGACCCCAGGCUGUUUUCUGUCGCUGGUACAAGUUGAUGUAUUUUUCAUGUUCAUAAUGUUCCUCUGCAGUGUUUUUUCUCUCCUGUCUUUUUGGCUUUUGUUUGUUUUGUUUUACGCUUGUUUUGAUCCUUUGUGCUUCUCUUGUCACUCCAGCUCAACUUUUAAAACCACAUGUUGAUGAUCUUUCACGCUUCUCAUUUAGGAGCUCCAGGCUUUUAUAGGAUGACUGUCAUAAUCACUGGUUCAGUUUUCAUGCUUGACAGCUAAUUUACUUUUCUGUAUUGCUUAUGCCACUGCAGUCCUGAAACCUGGCACUUCUUGUUGUCUCAUACUUAGCCUGCAUUUUGAGGACCUGAUACUGUGUGCCAAAAUGAGCAGGUUUCUUUUUCUGUGAGCAGCAAUUUGUUCAAGUGUCAGUGGGGAGCAGAAAGGCAUUGUUAGUGAUACAGCAGAGCAGAAAAGGAGUAAUUGGAAAUACAAGAAAAAGCAAUUAAAAAUAAAACAUUGUGGGAUGUCCUGUGUUUGAAAGUGCUGCCUGGGCAAGUCCCACUGCUGCUGCAUAUGCAUUUGCAGCACUUUACUGAUGAGGAUCAGUGUCAGCCAGGCAGCUGGGGACAGGGAGAACUGUUCUGCUAGGAGUGGAGCAUAAAUUAAAUUGCUUAUCACUUCCCUCAGUGUAGAUCACUUGCAGAUUACCUAAGAUGUCUGUAAGUCCUGACUCUCACAUAUUUGACUGAAAGACUCUCUAAUUUGUAGGAUGAUCUUUAACAUCCCCCAGUUUGGUUGUUGGCAAACAUUAGCUUUAAGAAGGAAUUAUAAUUUAUUAACCUUGAGGCUCUUGAGAUUAUUUUCUUUUUAACAGAAAUGAACAAGUCAGCACCAGUUCAAGUGUACAGACCUUUGGCUAAUUCAUAACCAAACGUGGCAUGAAGGAACACAUCUUUCUUGUGCCCUGAUGGGCUUCAGAAGUGAAUAUGUGUCUUUUGACUUCAGUCAGGACCUCUGUCUGCCACAAGAAACUCACUGUACCACGAGGAAGAGAAUUCCUAGUGCCAAGGGAAAUAUGACUUUGAAAAGAAAACAUUUUUUGGUGACAUAGAAACAGAUCUGAAGUCGCAUCUGUGCCUUUUAAAUAUAUAUGGAAAUUCUGUUUCCAAAAUUGUCAUACUGGGAUUUUUUUUCCACCCCUCACACCAGGGUUGGCUCUGUUUUUGAGAGACUAUAAGAAAGAGAGCAACAUUUUGAAUGAGGUCCUUCAAAAUGAAGCCCUUUCAACAUUAACUCUUUUUGCUGGUCUGAGACAUGAUUUAGUAAUCUGCAAGACAUACAGGAGGAUUAAAAAUAAAUGGCAGACAUCAAGGCUUUCCUUUUUCAGUCACAAAAUUGGUAUAUUUUCUGCUGCUGCUAAACUUGUCAGUGUUUGAAGUUUCAUAUUUUAAAAUUCCAUAUUUAAAAUUUCAUCAUUUUACAGAGUCUUGUGUGAAUUUGGGGUCUGGCAGUAUGAGACAGGUCAGACUUCGCUUGAUCACGAAGUGUAGAUGAAACUCUGCUGUUGGAAUGAAAUCUCAGUACUGGUUCUGUGUUCCUUAUUUGCAUGUGCAUUUCUUGGUUUGAAGGUCAGCUUUGCUGCACUUACUUUCAGCUUACAAGGGAAUUUGUUCUUCAUACAAGUCAUUUAUUAUACAAAGGCAGAAGGAAAGGUCGCAGUCACUUCUGUGUGUUUCUGGAAGAAAAUAAUCUGGGGUGCAAAAUGAAUUCUGUACAUUGGAGUCUGAAAUGUGACUCCUCCUUUAAUACCAGACUUAACAUAUUCUCACAGCUGUCAGAAGUGGGUGUUUCUGGAAGUGUAAAAUAUUUGAUUUGAAGGUAUAAGAUAUUUGGGAAGUUCCCCCCAUAUAGAUAGUCUCAUCUUUCUCUGUAUUCAAUCCACAUCAUCCAGAUUCAGUCUAGAGCAUUAUAAUCUUCUGCCAAUCCUAGCUUUAGUUUUGCUCCAAUCAGUAAAAAAUUGGAGCACAUCUUGAAGUUGAAUCAGUAUCAGCUGAAAGCUGAGAAUGUUUUUUUAAAAAUCCACAGAAGUAGCUGUCAGUUCUGCUGAGGAACAAAUGGAGCCAGCAUGAGCAGCUGCAGUGAGCACCAGCCAUGCAAAGGACAGCAAUUCUUACUGAUUUGCAAUACUCAUCACAAAUUGUGCCAGGGACUGGUGAGGUGAUUGCAAAGAGAAGUGGUAGGAAAAGGAGGACCUGCUGCAGUCAUGUCAAAAAGACAUAGAAAAUAGCUCCUUAUUUCUCUGUAGAACUUGCUUUUUGUUUUGUUAUCUGUGGAAGAGUAACUGUCUUCCAGGCAGGUUUUGUAUUCUAACGGUGUUUGAUGACAGGUUGACAAUGGCAUUAAAUGAAACACUGUUUUAACUGGGCCCAUAAAGCAGUAGGUACCUGGGAGUGCAGGUCAGACCUGCACCUAACAUGGUGUUCCUGUGAGUGACUUCUGAUAAAUUCACUGCCUUGUUGAGGCAGCUGUUCCUGAGGGGAGCAGUGGUCACCUCACACUGCCUGGAGCAUGAAAGGAUUGAGGAAUUCUGGGGGAAGAGUUGUCCUGUGUUAGUGUUCCACAGAGCAUUGUGAAGCACUGUCAGCAUUGAGAAUUGUCCUCUAAGGAUUUUCCCCUGCCAUGGAAGACUUGCUUAUAAAGGACCACACGUAGCAUGUCCCAUUUGUGCCUUUAUGUAAUCCAUGUGCAGGCCAAUAUUUCCUGAAUUUGAGUUGAUACUGGUCAAGAAAAUAUGCAGCAAAGCUGAAGGUAGAAAGCAGUGGAGAAUCAGCUUCAAAGAGUUACUCCGUGAAAUUCAGGUAAUAUAACAGGUGAAGUAAAAUAAAAUACCAGGUUCAGCUGUGUCAGACUGUGGUUCAGUAGUGAGAGUUCAUUUCUUGGUUCCUAGGCCAUGUGUGAAUGUCACAUGCCACAGAUGCUCUGAUGGAGCCUCUUUAAGGGCCAUUUUUGGAAUCAUUGAGCAGCAGAGCUCAAUGUGCUUAUGCUUCAGUGAUUUACUAAAAGUAAGGACGAAUUCCUUCUCUAUCAGAAGCCCAAAACCCAGAACUUUGGCAUCCAUGUGAUUGGACCACAGCUCUACUGGACAUGCCAUGUUUGGCAAGGUCAGGAAAAGUCAGAUAGAUGAUCCUGAGGUUGUUUAAUGUGACUGAAGUUGCAACACUUUGUUCUUAGUGAGAACUUUUUGUAGGAGGCCAGUUCUGAGCCCUUGUGCAGCUGCUCUGACAGGGAGAGCAGAGCAGACCUGGCAGCACUGGUUGGGUGAGGUUGAGCACUGGAGGGGAGAACUGGGAGACAGAGCCAGGGUGAUAUCCCUGUCCUUCUCUUGGCUCUAGGGAGAAGAGAUGGAGCCAAAAGGCCUUGGGGAGACUCAUUAUUGAUUUGGAGAGAGCAAUUACUCAGUUUUCACUUCUAAAUACUCCCCAGGGUUGUCACACCUUCAGACGGAGUGGAAACUGCUGUGAUUUUGAGCAACCAACUGUGCUGGUAGGAGAGAAGCAGACAGGGAUUCUGUUGAUGUGUAAAAAUGUUCAUACACUUUUAGCAGGAAGUAAGUAAGUUCAUUAAUUUUCUUUAAAAACUGUAAUUUAGAAGUUUUCCAGGCCCAUCUGAAUUUAAAGUAGAAGCAGCUACUUUUUUGAGAGUCUUGUUAAUACUUCAAAUUACAAGCCGGCUGUGGGAGACUUCACUAUGUGAAUCAGUGAUUUUAUUUAUAACAGCAAGUAAUCUCUGUCUAGUAACUAAAUGUGGGACAAGUUUGUAACUAGGCUUUGAUACCCAUUGCAGGUAGUUUUUUGUUUGGGGUUUCAUUUUUAGGCCAUAGGGAUUUUUAUUCUUCUGUGCUUGACAUAAAUGUAGCAAAAUUGUUCAGAGAAGCUUGUGCCCUCUCUUCUGGUGUGCUCUCUUCACCCCAGAGUAGGGCACUUGCAGACAUUGUCAGUCCACAUUCCUUUUGUGGGGUUUGCUUAAAGGACUUGCUUAAAUUCUGCCCAUUCAACUUUUUUUUCUAUAAGUAAUUGAAUAAGUGUAUCUGUUAAAUAAGUUUUGUUGCAUGCUUGCAGAAAACAUUAUUAUCAGUUUAUCUGCCUAAUGAUAUGAUGGGUUUUUUGGACACUCUACAUGAGAAUGAAUUGGUGAUUAAUCCUAAACAGAUGACGAGGAUGAGAACACAACUGUUGUGCAUUUUCCCUGGCAGUGCUUCUGUCUGGGUGUCAUUCAGCAGAUGAGAUGCAGUUUUUCCUUCUUUCCUGAGUAACUUUUAGAGCUGAUAAAUGCUAGGCAGCCAGUGGAAGCUGUCAGUGCAUAAGAUGAAAGAUGUUGACUAGAUCUGUGGUGCCAAAUAAACUGUUCUGCUUCCCUUUAA